rnacentral:lncRNA from 1 species
CAGGCAAACCGGUCAGGCGGGCACUGGGCUGAGGCCUCCAUCUGGAUGGGCCUGCGCUGACAGUCCGGGCUGGUGUGGCAGCUGCUCGCGGGGCAGGCAGCUGGGGCUGUGAGGCCACCGUCAGGUACGAGUGGGACUGGGACGGGGGGUUGGGGAGUGGUGGGCAGGCUACCAACCCUCAGCACCCCAGUUUCCUCUGCCCCUCAGCCUUUCCCUAUCCCUGUCCCCCACACAGCAUCCUUCCCUGUCCUGCUUUCGGCUCUUCACAUUGGAAACGCGGUACACCCAUCUUGCCUGAGUUUGCUGAGCCUCUCCCCAAAUUGGACCACCGCGAUUUCAUUGCUCCCUCACAAUUCCCCCUCCACCGUAUCAUUCAAUGCCCACAGAGGCUACGCCAAGCCUGUGUGCUCCCUCCUGCCUCAGGAGCAGGCCCCCAGCACCCAGCUGCCCGGCUGCCAUGCACAAACAUUACAAAGUCCACUUCGCCAAGGAUGCCCAGAGCCCCAACGGGCACUACUUCUGGGACCCAGAGUUGGGGCACCGAAAAGGAUGCUGUCAUCAGUGGCGCCAGGACUCAGCGGCCCUCCGAGCCCAUGGGCCCUGUCGACCUUCCCCCCAGU